CCCACCGCACCCUCCCUCCUUCCCAUCUCUCUCUCUCCCCCCGGUCUCCCACUUCGGCGCCGGCCCUGGCCCCUCUGCGGCGGCGCAGCCCCGCCCUGCCCCUACACCCCCUGCGGAGGAGCAGCGCGGGCGCGCGGCCCGUCCCCUGCUCCCUCCCUGGCGCCGUCGGGAGCGGCGGCGCGGCGUCGGGCGGCGUCGCUGUCGGGUAGCGGCGGCGUUGGCAUCGGGUGCGCCUCCUCCUCCCCGGCCUCCUUCUCCCUUGCGCUGGUGUGCCGCCGCCGGCAUCCGCAUUCAGUCGCGCCCUGCUGCGUUGUCGCCUCCCUCCCCGACCUCCCAAUCCCCUCCCUCGCCUGCUCUCUCUCUCUCUCUCUCUCAUCACACACGGCGGCGGAGCGGCGCGCGGCGGGGGAGCGGCGCGCGGCGGCGGACGGACUGCGGCGGCUGGGGAGUGGCGACUGGUGGCGGAGCAUGGGUCACGGUGGCCGACGGUCCUCUCUCUCCCCACUCGGCGGCCGGGAGCACGGGCCCCGCGCCACAUCGGUGUGUACCGUGCCUCCUCUACUAGCGCUCGAUUUGGCGUUUAGAGGCCAAUACGGGAGGAUGGCAGAUGUGUUAGCAUAGUCCGGUGGGGCUUUUUUACAGCAAAACCGUACUGCAGGACGAGGUAGUGGAGGGCUCCCCGUCCCCAAUGCGGAUAGCCUUAAGGAUGUAACUUGUAAGUCAGCUAAUUAAUUAUGAUGAUAUAUCACUCUACUCCAUUUCUCCUCCUAAAUUAAUAUACACAGAAUGUCCUUCUAGUUUAUUUUAUCAACUUUUUAAAUCAACCUAAAAUAUAUAACUUACAUCACUAAGUACUAUCAGCUGCUCUUCUGAUACACCCAUUAGCAGAUAGCACCAAUAGCACGACUAUCCGGCGGGUCGCGAGUCGGCUGCCUGCUCCAAACUCGUCCAAGCCACGUGUGCUGCACAAGAACGUAGAGAGGGUAACCAUCACAAUGGAGGUACGCCUAUAGUCACACAGAACUAGGAUUUCCCUGUUUCUGGAACUUUAAUUUGUCCAAGAACAGGAGAUGGAAACGAAACGGGAGUACGGGACACGGCCUGAUUAGGAAGCAAAGACGGAGUGCUUUGCCCCCAGCUACCCAUGGAACAACAGAGACCUCGCCUUCCCAUUGUCUGGUGCGGCGAUCUAGUGAAGUCUGCAGCGGCGCGGCUGCCAUCUGGGCGUCGGCGUUGAGUAGCCAAGAGGAGAAGACGAACGCCACAAGAGCCUGUUGGCCGGAAGCACAGGCGAAUUAGCUCCUAUUUGAUGAGUGAACAAUGGAUGUACAACGCCAACUGGCGUUCGUUGGAGCUUAUUAUUGGUGUGCAUGAAUUCAUCGAAGCGGCCAAGAAACACAAGUACGACGGUUUUGUUCAUUGUCCAUGCAAAUUAUGAGAGAACGAGUAGGAUUACUCCUCAACAAGAAACAUCCACAGUCACUUGUUCGCAAGCGGUUUCAUGCCCAAGUACAAUGUUUGGAUCGAGCAUGGAAAAAGAGGGAUUAUGCUAGAGAAUGAUGAAGAAGAAGAGGAGAGCAUUCCUAAUUUUGUGGAUGAUUACGGUGCAUUCUUUGAAGAUACUGCAAUAGGUGAUGUUGGUGUUUUACCACCAAGCUCUCCGAGGGAUACUCCGAGGAGAUUAAUUGUAGGCAGGGACUCGACAAGAUCAUAACGCAAUGGUGCAAGGAGCACAAAAAUUUAGACAGGUUCAGGCCGUUAGAGCGUAAUAUCCUACAUCAUGUGUGGUGGUUUGUAUUGGCUUAUAUGAUGCGUAUGUUUUGGAGGAGUCCCUGCCCACCCUUAUAUAGUUUGGGGGGGACAGGGUUACAUGGAAAGUCAUAGCCUUAUACUAACAGAGUCCUACUCCAUCAUGGUCGGGUAGUUUCCUUGUAUAUCAACUAGUGCUACUGCUGUACGAGUAGUUACAAAGAGGUAAGGUACAUUUCAUACGCUAUCCUUACUCUAGAAUAUUCCAUGCCCGUGAGCAAUCCUGCUACCCUAGGUCUGACAAGCCCCUGAGCUCUUUGUAGUUGAGUCCUGCAGGCGUCAAGUACUUCGAAGACAUUGUCGAGUGCUUCGAGUGCUCCUAGAAUCCUCCUAUUCUUCGUUGAGUGCUUCGAGUAGUCUUUCGAGUACUUCCUUGGCUGCAUCGAGGCUAUGAGAUGCUCACACCCCAAAUCAUCUUCUUUUAUAUGGUGCAUGAUGAACUCGCGCUCCAUAUGGAAUAGCCCCCGAGCCUUAGGUUGAAUCGCAGAAUCAGACUGAGGGUCAAAUCAGUCUCCAAGAAAUCUUUCAAAUCUUCAUUUGCCAUUCAAAUCAUCUUUGAAAAAUAUGCCUUUUAUAGUUUUAUGCCACACAUCCCGUAGCCCCCAAGCCUUAGAACGAAAUCCCAUAGAUUUGGAAUUAAGAAUCUAAAAACCGUGGCUUACAGGAAAUAUUCCUUAUAAAAAAAAUUCAUAACAAUCAAUCCGAAAUAUCUGAUAACCUCUUUUUUCGGAACCGAAUCCCAAAAAAAUGAUCAACCUUUCCUUCAAAAAAAAUGAUCAACCAGAUAAUCGUUCACAAGAAUCCUUUAAUUACUGCUCAAAAAUAAUUCUUAACUGGCACGUGUCUCUUCGACUUAUCCUUAUUAACAUGAAUGCCACUGACUAGGUUAUUUAACCAUUCGGUAAAACCAGGGUUAGCACAUUCUCUUACUUGUGUAGUUGAAUCUGCCGCCUCUGUCAUUGUUUCCCUCUUUCGUUCUUGAGAAACUAGUCACUACUAGCCCCCGAGCGCGGCAACAAGAAGGAACUCCCCUCAUUCAGAUGGCACCCAAGAAGAGUCUGAGCAAGGGAAAGGAGAAACCCAGCGGAGUAGGAAGCCCAACCGAGAUUGAAGGAUGGAGAGCAAGUAAGUGCUCUGACUUCCAUCUUCUUGGUCUUGUCGAAGAAAAACUCCUCCAACCUCGUGAAUUAAUCCAUUGGCGUAAUGCCCUAGGAGAUGUUCCUCCGCAUGAAGGAGACCAGGAAACCAUUGUUUUUAAAGAUUAUAUCUUGCGUGGUUUCGGGAUUCCAAGUUUUGAUUUUUUCCACGGACUUCUUUUCCAUUGCGGCAUUCAAGCACACCACUUGAACCCAAAUUCCAUUCUCUACAUCUCCAUCUUUGUUCACCUGUGCAAAACAUUUCUGGGAAUCGAACCCCAUUUCGAUUUAUUUCAAUAUUUUUUUCCAUCUAAAGCCCCAACCCAGUGUCACAGAAGUAGAUGUAGUUGGAGGGGCCAAACUUCAGUUGUGCCAGGGUCUAGGGAUGAAGUAUAUCCCUUACAAACUGUCGUACAAAGUUAUUGACUGGAAAGAUUUCUGGUUUUAUGUUGAAAACCAAACACCAGCACUCCCAGAUAGAAUUCUAGGACCCCCAACUCCAAAGGCCAGUUGGAAUCCGAAGGGUCAAAAUCUUGCUCAAAUUAAUGAUUUGAUCGGCAAGAUUGAGCACUUGAAGAAGAAAGGCUUGACCGGCACAUCAGUAAUGAUGAACUGGAUCUAUCGGCGCAUCCAGCCGCUGCAACAUCGAGCCAAUUUUGGAUUUCUCUAUGCUGGAGAUGAUGAUCCAGGACACUUGACCAUCGACAAGAUUACUGAAGCAGAUGCUUUGCAUCGGGUAUGUCGAGUACUUGAGGAGUAUUCGAGAUCCCAAAAUUUGUGAAAGAUUUUCGACUAAACAAGCGUCCUCGUGAGAUAAACCCAGAUAAUUAUUAAAGUAGGCCUCCACUCCCUAAAGUUGUGCCUGCUGCACAAGUUAACCCAACAGAUCCGUCUGGGGGAGGAGAUGGCGAUGAUGGGAGCCGAACAAUGGCUGCCCAAGAAGAUUCCGCAACGAGUGGAUCUCGAGUUGCAUCGCCAGAGACGCGUGAACGCAUGGCGUCAUCAGCUGGUUGCGACAAAAGCCUCCCAAGUGAGAAGCACACGCGUGGUUCCACAGUUUCUGCCGCCGCUAGUCCAGGUGUGUCCGCGGCUGGCUCUGGAGGCGUGGCCAAGGAACAGAACUCCUCGGGAUCUAUUAUAAUCCCGAAAUUAUUGCGACCGAGGAAGUUACAGGUUAAGAGAUUGUGCCACAAGGCAGCUGACCUUAGUCUUGAAGACUUGGGUCCAACCUCAGUUUCCAAACCAGUCGAGGAGACUCCCACAACCUUGGAACAGCCGAAGAGCAUGCCCGCUCCGAUGGAACCAGGAGUUGAAAAGACUCCCUCGACUGAACCAGUGGAGAUUGAGGUGGAGAAGACCACAGGCGCCUCUGUUGAUUUGCAGUCGACAGAUCAAGAGAAGGUCACCGAUAUAGCCCCGGAAGUCGAGCAGUCGACUCACGAGAAUCUGCAAGAAGAACCAAAGCUGCCGGUGGAAGGGGCAAAAUUAUAUGAAGAAAAAAUUCUCGAGUUUUAGAAAUUUUUGAGUGAACUAGCCGAACAAGCCGCUGCCAAGGCUCAAGCGCUGCAACAAGCUGGAGAAGGUCUGCGAUUGUCCGUGGAUCAGGAGCGUCAACUCCAAGAAAUCACAGGUCUUCGAGGAGAGCUUGAGAAGCUAAAGGCAGAUCAUGAGAAGGAAACAGAUUCCCUGCAGAAACAAGUUGAUAGCCUUGGAAAAGACAAUAGUUCUCUAUUGGAGAGAAAUAAGUUUCUGCAGGAGAAGAAUAAGAAAUUAUCCAAGGAUCAUAAAGAUGCUGUGGAGAAGCUAACCAAGAUCCAAGCGGAUACAGACAAGCAACUUGUCUAGAACAUGAAGCAAAUCAAGGACUUGGUAGCUGAAAGGGAUCUUCAAGCUAAAGAACUAGCCGAUCUUAAGGCGGUGGUGCAAGAAGUAGGUCGAGCCCGUCGAAGAUGGUGGCGCCGGUGAUAGGACUUUGGUGGAGCGUCUUUGCGAGGCUCCUCAAAAGAUUGCUGGCUUCCUGUCCAAGACAUCGAGGCAGUAUAUGGAGCACGUCUUGGGGUUAGUUAAGUCUUACUGGCCUGGAGUUAACCUUGCUCCAAUUGGCGACGGGUUAGCUGAGGGAUGCUCAGACGAGAAAUUCGCUGAGUAUGUCGAGGAAGUGAAGCCCAUUGCCAAUAAGAUUGUUGAUGUGUUGGAGCAGCCUUCGGAUGGAGAAGCUUGAACAUGUUUGUGUCUUUGAACUUAUUGUAAUGCAAUGAUUCGUCAUUUGUGAACACAUUUGUCCAUCAGUGUAACAGAUACUUUAUGUCUUGUGUUGAACGAGUUAUGUUGAGACGUCACUUAUAUCUGUUUUUGUGGCCA